GAUGAACGCUGGCGGCGUGCCUAAUACAUGCAAGUCGAGCGAACCACUUCGGUGGUGAGCGGCGAACGGGUGAGUAACACGUAGGUGAUCUGCCCAUCAGACGGGGACAACGAUUGGAAACGAUCGCUAAUACCGGAUAGGACGAAAGUUUAAAGGUGCUUCUGGCACCGCUGAUGGAUGAGCCUGCGGCGCAUUAGCUAGUUGGUAGGGUAAAGGCCUACCAAGGCGACGAUGCGUAGCCGACCUGAGAGGGUGAACGGCCACACUGGGACUGAGACGCGGCCCAGACUCCUACGGGAGGCAGCAGUAGGGAAUCUUCGGCAAUGGGCGAAAGCCUGACCGAGCAACGCCGCGGGAAUGAUGAAGGCCUUCGGGUUGUAAAAUUCUGUUAUAAGGGAAGAACGACUUUAGUAGGAAAUGGCUAGAGUGUGACGGUACCUUAUGAGAAAGCCACGGCUAACUACGUGCCAGCAGCCGCAGUAACAC
rnacentral:rRNA from 1 species